rnacentral:rRNA from 1 species
UCGAACGAGAAAGUGGAGCAAUCCAUGAGUACAGUGGCGACCGGGUGAGUAACACGUGACCAACCUGCCCUCGAGUGGGGAACAACCUAGGGAAACCUGGGCUGAUACCGCAUAACAUCUUCGAGUCGGAAGACUUGGGGAUCAAAGGAGCAAUUCGCUUGAGGAGGGGGUCGCGGCUGAUUAGCUAGUUGGCGGGGUAAUGGCCCACCAAGGCGAAGAUCGGUAGCCGGCCUGAGAGGGCGCACGGCCACACUGGAACUGAAACACGGUCCAGACUCCUACGGGAGGCAGCAGUGGGGAAUUUUGCGCAAUGGGGGAAACCCUGACGCAGCAACGCCGCGUGGAGGAUGAAGUCCCUUGGGGACGUACACUCCUUUCGACCAAGACGAUAAUGACGGUACUGGUGGAAGAAGCACGCGCCUACUCUGUG